CCUACGGGUGGCAGCAGUGAGGAAUAUUGGUCAAUGGGCGUAAGCCUGAACCAGCCAAGUCGCGUGAGGGAUGAAGGUUCUAUGGAUCGUAAACCUCUUUUAUAAGGGAAUAAAGUGUGGGACGUGUCCUAUUUUGUAUGUACCUUAUGAAUAAGGAUCGGCUAAAUCCGUUCCAGCAGCCACGGUAAUACGGAGGAUCCGAGCGUUAUCCGGAUUUAUUGGGUUUAAAGGGUGCGUAGGCGGCCUUUUAAGUCAGCGGUGAAAGUUUGUGGCUCAACCAUAGGAUUGCCGUUGAAACUGGGGGGCUUGAGUAUGUGUGAGGCAGGCGGAAUGCGUGGUGUAGCGGUGAAAUGCUUAGAUAUCACGCAGAACCCCGAUUGCGAAGGCAGCCUGCCAAGCCAUGACUGACGCUGAUGCACGAAAGCGUGGGGAUCAAACAGGAUUAGAGACCCGUGUAGUC
rnacentral:rRNA from 1 species